rfam:Ipomoea nil DNA, scaffold: scaffold2921, cultivar: Tokyo-kokei standard.
GCCUCCGUAGCAUAGUGGUAGUGCGUUCGCUUUGUAAGCGAAAGGUCAUGAGUUCAAUCCUCGUCGGGGGCU